UAAGGUGGUUACAGCACGGGGGAUCCACCUCUACCCAUCCCGAACAGAGAAGUUAAGCCCCGUCACGCCGAUGGUACUGCGCAAGUGGGAGAGUAGGUAGCCGCCACUU
rnacentral:rRNA from 1 species